GACGAACGCUGGCGGCGUGCUUAACACAUGCAAGUCGAACGGAAAGGCCCUGCUUUUGUGGGGUGCUCGAGUGGCGAACGGGUGAGUAACACGUGAGUAACCUGCCCUUGACUUUGGGAUAACUUCAGGAAACUGGGGCUAAUACCGGAUAGGAGCUCCUGCUGCAUGGUGGGGGUUGGAAAGUUUCGGCGGUUGGGGAUGGACUCGCGGCUUAUCAGCUUGUUGGUGGGGUAGUGGCUUACCAAGGCUUUGACGGGUAGCCGGCCUGAGAGGGUGACCGGCCACAUUGGGCCUGAGAUACGGCCCAGACUCCUACGGGAGGCAGCAGUGGGGAAUAUUGCACAAUGGGCGGAAGCCUGAUGCAGCAACGCCGCGUGCGGGAUGACGGCCUUCGGGUUGUAAACCGCUUUCGCCUGUGACGAAGCGUGAGUGACGGUAAUGGGUAAAGAGGCACCGGCUAACUACGUG
rnacentral:rRNA from 1 species